GGCUGGUCCAAUGGUAGUGGGUUUUCAGAACCUGUUAACUUAGUGUCACUAAAAUUGGUAUAAAAUCCCACUGCUAAAUUUGGCUUUAA
rnacentral:Y_RNA from 1 species